UUUAGCGAAGUCGACGAUUGGAGUCCUAUAACUGCGAAGCGCAUUGUUUGGAGUCCUAUAAUUGCAAUUUUCUGCUUUUCGCCAUGGGGAGCAUCUCCGGCCACACAUUAAACCUCCGAUUCGUGCAAGGUUCCGGAUUUACUCGAAGCCUCCGUCCGAUACGCGAUUGGGGAUCGAUGGACCGAGAGGGGAUGCAGCAACCAGGGUCCAGGGUCCAGGAGAAUCGAUCCGAGGACACACUUGGUGCCUUGGAGGUGCCUCUGGCUCUGUCCUAUGCUGUUCGGCCACGUCCUGCUAGCAAGAUGUGUACAUAAUUAAUAUUCUGGCCAAAGCUGGCCACAGCAGUCGUGUCUUCAAGAACGAACCCCGAAGCUGGCCGUUACUAAUCAACUCAAUCAUCGAAGAAGCACGGAUUUGGGUCGCUGCAGGGAUCGAGCUGCCUCCAGCUGGUAGUUUAAGCGCGGUAGCUCUGCUAGGUCACAAAGGUGGUUGGGAGGAAUCCGUGUAAUUUUUCUUUGGGCGGUAUGUUAGUAUGGCCGGAUGUUAGAACUAUCUCCUCCUUAAUACAAAGAUGGUUUAAUCAACAUAAAGUUGAUCUUACUGAAUUAGCAUUGAAAUUUGUUGUGAAAUAGACGAUUUGUUGAAAAGUUUUACUGCACUGUGAUC